rnacentral:rRNA from 1 species
UAAGGAAUAUUGGACAAUGGAGGCAACUCUGAUCCAGCCAUGCCGCGUGAAGGAUGAAGGCGCUACGCGUUGUAAACUUCUUUUCUCCUAGAAAAAACUUCUGGUUUCGUACCGGAACUGAUUGUACAGGAGGAAUAAGCAUCGGCUAACUUCGUGCCAGCAGCCGCGGUAAUACGAAGGAUGCAAGCGUUAUCCGGAUUCACUGGGUUUAAAGGGUGUGCAGGUGGGGUAAUAAGUCAGUGGUGAAAGCCCCCGACUCAAUCGGGGAACUGCCAUAGAUACUGUUAUUCUUGAGUGUAGUUGAGGCGGAUGGAAUAUGACAUGUAGCGGUGAAAUGCUUAGAUAUGUCAUAGAACACCGAUCGCGAAGGCAGUCCGCCAAGCUAUUACUGACACUGAAACACGAAAGUGCGGGGAUCAAACAGG